rnacentral:misc_RNA from 1 species
GAUGAAGAACGCAGCGAAAUGCGAUACUUGGUGUGAAUUGCAGAAUCCCGUGAACCAUCGAGUCUUUGAACGCAAGUUGCGCCUCAAGCCAUUAGGUUGAGGGCACGUCUGCCUGGGCGUCACAUAUCGUUGCCUGAUGCCAGUUUCCUCGUGAUGGGUGACUGUGCAGGGCGAAUGAUGGCUUCCCGUGAGCAUUGUUGCCUCAUGGUUUGUUGAAAAUUGAGUCCUUGGUAGGGAGCGCCGUGAUAGAUGGUGGUUGAGUGACGAACGAGACCCAAUCAUGUGAGACCCCUACCGAAUUUGGCCUUCAUGACCCACAUGCGUCUUUGGAACGCUCAUGACGAGACCUCAGGUCAGGCGGGGCUACCCGCUGAGUUUAAGCAUAUCAAUAAGCGGAGGA